UAAUACGAAGGUGGCAAGCGUUGUUCGGAUUCACUGGGCGUACAGGGAGCGUAGGCGGUUGGGUAAGCCCUCCGUGAAAUCUCCGGGCCUAACCCGGAAAGUGCAGAGGGUACUGCUCAGCUAGAGGAUGGGAGAGGAGCGCGGAAUUCCCGGUGUAGCGGUGAAAUGCGUAGAGAUCGGGAGGAAGGCCGGUGGCGAAGGCGGCGCUCUGGAACAUUUCUGACGCUGAGGCUCGAAAGCGUGGGGAGCAAACAGGAUUAGAUACCCUGGUAGUCCACGCCUUAAACUAUGGAUACUAAGUGUCGGCGGUUUACCGCCGGUGCCGCAGCUAACGCAAUAAGUAUCCCGCCUGGGAAGUACGGCCGCAAGGUUGAAACUUAAAUGAAUUGACGG
rnacentral:rRNA from 1 species